rnacentral:rRNA from 1 species
CCCUUAGAUGUUCUGGGCCGCACGCGCGCUACACUGACGGAGGCAGCGAGCGUGUCCUUCGCCGGCAGGUGCGGGCAAUCUUGCGAGUCUCCGUCGUGCUGGGGAUAGAUGGUUGCAAUUGUCGAUCUUGAACGAGGAAUUCCUAGUAAGCGCGAGUCAUCAGCUCGCGCUGAUUACGUCCCUGCCCUUUGUACACACCGCCCGUCGCUACUACAGAGUGCCCGUGUCCAAGAAACGGUCGGACCUGUGCGGCCUCUCCGGGCGACCGGAGGGCCGUUACGGGGAAGACCCUUUAUUUGACGCGGGUCGAUGAAGUAAAAGUCGUAAC